rnacentral:lncRNA from 1 species
CCCCAAGGGUGACUGGGGUAUAGAAAUAUGGUCACUUGGUCUUCUCCCGACCGGCAGUAAAACGCUUGCCGAAGUGGGGCGUCCGUUUGGCUGUGCGGGAUGUAUCAAGUUCGCAGUCACGUCCGGUCAGAUUGGGGACGUUAAAUCCGAUGCCUCGUGUAAAGAGAGUGCCACGCUCUUUGCACGUUAAGAACCCUUGCAACAACUCUUUGAGGGGUCCGUAGGUGGCCUGUUGCAAGGCAAAAUUUCGGUCCCUAUCCAAAAUACCCUCAUUUUCCAGUGGCAGUCCAAAUUUCCCCGACCACCAUCCUAGAUGGCCUCUAUUACAACAACCUACCUAUUGUAUUUAUUGUGAACUUGUUCUCGUCCUGAAUAUGCAUGAAAUAUUUGCCACUGGACGUUAAGCAACCAACAAUCAAUCAAUCAUUGAUCUUCACUGUAAUAUAGUAAUAAAAAAAAGAGAAAAAAACAAUAAUGACACAAUCUUUAUACAUUUAUACAAAAUUUUACAAGUCAUACAUUUCUCUCUCUCUCUUUUUGUUUUAAACCAACCC